AGCCUGAGAGGUGAUGCGUAGCCGAUUGAGGCGAAUUCAGUGAUCCUAUGCUGCCGAGAAAAGCCUCUAGUGAGUUGGUACACGGCCCGUACCCCAAACCGACACAGGUGGUCAGGUAGAGAAUACUAAGGCGAUCGAGAUAACUGUGGUUAAGGAACUCGGCAAAAUACCUCCGUAACUUCGGGAGAAGGAGGGCCCGGUCUGGUGAACACCCUUGCGGUGGGAGCUGGGUUGGGUCGCAGAGACCAGUGAGAAGCGACUGUUUACUAAAAACACAGGUCCGUGCGAAGUCGUAAGACGAUGUAUACGGACUGACGCCUGCCCGGUGCCGGAAGGUUAAGAGGACCGGUUAGCGCUUCGGCGCGAAGCUGAGAAUUUAAGCCCCGGUAAACGGCGGUGGUAACUAUAACCAUCCUAAGGUAGCGAAAUUCCUUGUCGGGUAAGUUCCGACCUGCACGAAUGGCGUAACGACUUCUCAGCUGUCUCAACCACAGACUCGGCGAAAUUGCAGUACGAGUAAAGAUGCUCGUUACGCGCGGCAGGACGAAAAGACCCCGGGACCUUCACUAUAGCUUGGUAUUGGUGUUCGGUACGGUUUGUGUAGGAUAGGUGGGAGACUGUGAGACAUGCACGCCAGUGUGUGUGGAGUCGUCGUUGAAAUACCACUCUGAUCGUAUUGGACCUCUAACCUCGGACCCUGAUCGGGUUCAGGGACAGUGCCUGGUGGGUAGUUUAACUGGGGCGGUUGCCUCCCAAAAUGUAACGGAGGCGCCCAAAGGUUCCCUCAGCCUGGUUGGCAAUCAGGUGUUGAGUGCAAGUGCACAAGGGAGCUUGACUGUGAGACCGACAGGUCGAGCAGGGACGAAAGUCGGGACUAGUGAUCCGGCACCGGCAAGUGGAAGCGGUGUCGCUCAACGGAUAAAAGGUACCCCGGGGAUAACAGGCUGAUCUUCCCCAAGAGUCCAUAUCGACGGGAUGGUUUGGCACCUCGAUGUCGGCUCGUCGCAUCCUGGGGCUGGAGUAGGUCCCAAGGGUUGGGCUGUUCGCCCAUUAAAGCGGCACGCGAGCUGGGUUUAGAACGUCGUGAGACAGUUCGGUCUCUAUCCGCCGCGCGCGUUAGAAACUUGAGGAAGGCUGUCCCUAGUACGAGAGGACCGGGACGGACGAACCUCUGGUGUGCCAGUUGUUCCGCCAGGAGCACGGCUGGUUGGCCACGUUCGGAAGGGAUAACCGCUGAAAGCAUCUAAGCGGGAAGCCUGUUCCAAGAUGAGGUUUCUCACCCCCUCGAGGGGGUAAGGCCCCCAACAGACCAUUGGGUUGAUAGGCCAGAACUGGAA
rnacentral:rRNA from 1 species